rnacentral:lncRNA from 1 species
CAAAGCCAAGAGAAAGGGAGAACAAGGAAGAUGGGCAAAGAGUCAUUUUUAAAAUAAAAUAAAAAAACUUUUAUUUGACUGGGCCUUUGAAGAAGCACAGUGACCCAAGGCACAGAACGCAUUAUUUACCUCAGGAAGCGAUCAUGAAUUAUACAGAAAGUUGUCCAGGUGCCCCUCUGGAGCUGUGACCUGUGGUAAUUUGUGAACAGAGAGCGCGCUUGUGGCGGGUUGCUCUCAGCUGCAGUCGGUGUCACACCCCACGGGCUCUAAUGGAGAGACGCCAGCUUCCAACAGCUGAAGAUCUGACCUUAGGAGGAACUGAGAGUGGAUUUUUGCCUGGCUGUCACCUAACUCUAAACAGGACCAUCAAAGGAAAGUUCCACCCCUACUCAUGGCUUGUGGGAUGCUUUUUGAAGUAACGGAGGACUCUUUUUCCUGCAAGACGUGGGCAGCACAUCCGGAAGGCUGUGGGGAGAGGAAGCUCUGCUGCAUGCUGUUUGCAACCUGCACACCUCCAUCAGCCCCAGUGGGCGCUCCCAUCAGUGGUGU